rnacentral:rRNA from 1 species
UACGUAGGGGGGCAAGCGUUGUCCGGAAUUAUUGGGCGUAAAGAGCGUGUAGGCGGUCCGGUAAGUCAGCUGUGAAAGUCAAGGGCUCAACCCUUGAAAGCCGGUUGAUACUGUCGGGCUAGAGUCCGGAAGAGGCGAGUGGAAUUCCCCGGUGUAGCGGUGAAAUGCGCAGAUAUCGGGAGGAACACCAAUGGCGAAGGCAGCUCGCUGGGACGGUACUGACGC